AGCUAAACAGCCACGUGUCAAACCAUGUGUGGGUUAAGAGUUGAGACACAGACAAACGUGCAAGACCAUGGGUUGAUUGGUUGUCGUCUCUCCGCACGAACGCGAUUUCGAAAACCGGAAGCUUGCCAAUAGGAUCCGAGCUUCAUCCACCAAACUACUCUAAUUCUGAUGCCAUCCAGCUUCCCGUUGAAGAGCAGAGACAACCUCAAGUGAAUCACCCUCGAAGAUAACUGGUUGUAGGCCCAACUCUCUGCACAGUCGCAUCCCACAUCGAGCUGCAAAUGCUUCGGCUAUGGUCGGAUCGAAUACAUAGGGAUGGGUCAUACACCUAGCAGCCAAAACUUGUUCGGAAUGGUCCCGCAACACCAAACCCACACCCAUGAUAUGCUUUUUUCGAUUAAUGGCGGCAUCUCAGUUCAACUUUAGAACGCCUGAGGGUGGGGGAGACUAGUGAGAGUUCUGGGUGGGAGAUGCCAGUUUAGGGAUGCUGAGUUUGGUUUAAGCGUCCCGAUAAUCAGCCAAGGCUUCUGUGGCACUUUUGAUCGAACACCUUGGGGGCAGAAUCUUUCCUCCGAAGACUACGUGAUUUCGCCGUUUCCACAACCGGUAGGUUGUCAUUGCAAGCAUGCCAGAGGAAUAGUUGCACUGAACGCGAUACCUGAAGCCCCCAAAUAACUGACCAUGCCGGAUGCAAGGUUGGUAUGAUGGAAGCACUGCCUUGGAAACGGCCUCGGCACUCAACCUCAAGAUGGUAAGCGCUGCGGACUGUGAAAUUGCCGAUUGGGGUCCCUACCCAAAUGACUCUAUCGGCUUGCAACCUUGGACAAAUAGCAAUACUACAAGUCUACAAAUAAUAUCAGCAGUCUCUGGUGGAAAAAUUUGCUCAACCAGAGGAAUUGUUGUGGCUUUCAAGCGGCUGGACCACUCGGGGGGACCAAAGAGAAGAUCAAAAAAAGAAACAAAUAAAGAGGAAAGGAAGAGGGCUAGAUAUUUCCAUGCAAGGGUGCGGCAAUGACUUGCUCUUUCCAAAUUGGUCCCACCAAAUUACAUGAUUUCCUUCCAAAUUUCCAUGCAUGUAGAACUGCAAGAAAGAGCAUUCAUUGACCUGCAUUAAAUCCUUAAGAAAGAAAGAAAGAAUUAAGAAAUUAAAACAUGGAGAUUUGGCAAACCAAAGACACACUUUGUCCAUAUGAUUAGCGACACUCCAGAACUGGCGCACGUUCUCUCUCGAGGAUCACACGAUCUUUUACUGAGGAUUGAGAAGGCACCAACCACAUGAUUUCUUUCCAUAAACAUGCAAGGCAAGAGAUCAAAUACAUGCACUACUUUUUAUCUCUAUAACUGGCAGCAAGGACAAGAUUUUCUUUCCAAUAAAAGGUCCACGUGAAGAAGAGGGACAAGACUUUCAAAAGAGAGACGCGCUCUUUCCAUAAACAAGCAGCACCGAAUUGAGUCUUCCCUUUUCAGUUCUCUUGCAUUCACGUACGUUAGAGGGGUGCCGUGACAUUGAGUGUAAGAAAUCCGGAAAUCAUAAAGGAAAGAAAUAAGGGUCAAACGUUGACGUGUGGAGCAUUCCUUUUAAAAUCUAGGAGUCAUGCGUCUUGCAAUAUAUAUAAAAAGUCAAAGCCAGAGGAGAGGGGGGAGAGAAGAGCCAAGGAGCACGGAAAAGCAUAGAUGCGCAGAGUUUGGAUUUUUUAUUUUAUUUGUUUUCAAUUUAUGUUUAGUACUUUGAUUAUAGAAUUUAUUUUAAUAAAUAUGAGUGGCUAAACCUCUAGCUAGGGCUAGA